UGUAGCCUUAUAAAUCCUCAAUUUAGGUCCUUGAUCAUUAGAUCACUUUUCCCCAAAUAGUGUCAACUUUUUUAGCAUAAAUAUUCUCCCUUGUGCUUUGCAAUUUGCACCACCAAAAUAACAAGCUAGCUAACCAGAGAUCCAUUACUCGACCAGCUGCAGAACCAACCAUGAUGAUUAGCAAUAAACCCUUGAAGAAGACAAGAACUUUUCUCCUCAGGAGGUCAGAAUCAACUGCCUCCCAAUCCCAAUCCCAACCCCAAUCCCAAUCCCAACCCACAAAGCUGGAUAAUAUUGUCCCUAGAAAUAAUAAGUCUCCUUUGCUCGAAUUCCCCACAUCUCCUCAACUGAUAUUUGGGGAAGAGAUACUUCAGUUCGGUCAUCACCAACACCCUCUGUCCCAAGUGAUCCUGCCCGACCUCUUCACCUGCGCCGGCUGAAAGGAGUACGGCGCCGGCAAGAGGUUCAUUUGCCAACAAUGUGAUUUUCAGCUCCAUGAUUUUUGUGCCUUGGCUCCUCCAGCUCUAAAGAACCAUCCCUUUCACUUCCAACACCAACUUGUUUUCUAUUCUAAAGCAGUUAAAGGAGGAAUUGCACAAUCCAAGUGCGAUGUUUGUCACAAGCCAAGCAAAGGUUAUGCUUUCAGAUGCAGCGCAUGCAGCUUCCAGAUGCAUCCUUGCUGUGCGAUGUUGUCUUCAGAAAUAAACCUGCAGACUCACCCACAUACCCUAAGGCUUUUACCAGCAGCAGCAAGUGGUGGUAGUGGCGGAGAUUCUUCUGGUAGCAGUUUUGUUUGUGCGGAGUGCAGGAGGAAGAGGUCGGGCAGGGUUUACCACUGCAAGGUGUGUGAUUACCAUAUUCAUGCAGUUUGCGCCAAGAACAUGAUAAAUGGGCUGCAAGAAAACGGCCUCAAGGGGCGAGAAAAGCCGAGUGUGUUGGGGACUGCUGCUCGCCUCGCAUCUCAAGUCGUCAUUGAAUUCAUAGGCGGCCUCAUUGAGGGGCUUGGGGAAAGUGUUGCCGAAGUAUUCGUUCAGAAUAUUGCCCGAUCAGGAAGACCCAAUGCCCCUAAUUGAUCGAUGAAGCUCUCCACUUUGGACUGUAUAUUUAUGAAUUACCAAAUAGAAUAUGACAGGUUCAUCGUACGGUGUCAGUCAUGUAUUAUUUACUUAUUCAUUUCACUGUCUUUCCCGAUCCUAUUCGGCUACAUAAUAUAACGGUCUUGUAUGAUAAUGGGUGGUUGACACGUGGUGUGGACUAAAAAGACCAAGUCAAGUUGCCUAGAGCAAUUUUCUA